GGAUGAGUGAGAGAAAAGAGGGGGUUAGCUGGUAAGAGGAGGUUUGUGUUGAGGAGCAUGAAGGAGAGAGUCAUGAAGCAGGAUCCUGGGGAGAAUGUCACUGCUGUGAGGUUACUCCAGAAUAAAGUAUAGAAGUUUGGAUGUCAUGAGACCUUGGUGGUUGUGACUAGACAUGGUGAAAACUCAGC